CAGAAAUCACAAAAAAAUGUUUCAUCUUCCUCGCCUCUCUUCCCCUACGAAAGCUCAUACCAUUUCUGCCCUAAUUUCCGCCAUUUCUGCAUCUCACAUCCUUUUUACCAUAAUUCUUCAUCAUUUUUUCACAUAUCUACCCAUAAUCCUUCCAAAUAUUUCCAUUCCAGGAUUCACAUGUGGGGAUCCAGAUCAUGGAAAUAAGCAUACAUCAAUAUCCUUGUAUGUGUGAAUACCUUAAAAUUUCUAUUGCAAACUAAGUACUAGCUGCUGUUAUUCAUCAGUUACUAUCAACGAGAAUUGAGAAGUAUGUCUAGAUCUGUAGUUGGUACUAAUGAAGUUUCUAGCUGUGUGCGGACACCAAUGAUCCUGUUGUAUCAAUUUUCUCAAUGUAUUCAAGAUACUUGCAAUUAUUGCUCAUUUGAUGGGGAUGCUAACUCAGUUUUGAAUAUAGGGAUGCCGAUUGAAUGUCGUCCACCGACAUCCCUACGUCGUUCACUUUUAUUGUUCUUAUUUCGAUGUAGUUAAUUGUUUGCAUUAAUGGUUCUCAAAUCAUUAUUUUAUAAUUUUAAUUUUUAGGCAAUGAAUGAGAAAAAAAAGAGCUAAUGUACAAAUGUUAGAUAAAUUGUGCGUGAAAUUACAAAGAAUGGAAAAACAAGUACCAAAUACAAGCAUCCAUGUGGAG